rnacentral:rRNA from 1 species
UACGUAGGUGGCAAGCGUUGUCCGGAUUUACUGGGCGUAAAGCGCGUGUAGGCGGCUUGGCAAGUCGGAUGUGAAAGCCCACGGCUCAACCGUGGAAGCGCAUCCGAAACGGCCUCGCUCGAGUCUCGGAGAGGAAGGUGGAAUGCUUGGUGUAGAGGUGAAAUUCGUAGAUAUCAAGCAGAACACCUGCGGCGAAGGCGGCCUUCUGGACGAUGACUGGACGCUGAGACGCGAAAGCGUGGGGAGCAAACAGGAUUAGAACCCGG